rnacentral:rRNA from 1 species
AGCGAACGCUGGCGGCAGGCCCAACACAUGCAAGUCGAGCGGGCCCUUCGGGUCAGCGGCAGACGGGUGAGUAACACGUGGGAACGUACCCUUCGGUUCGGAAUAACUCAGGGAAACUUGAGCUAAUACCGGAUACGCCCUUUGGGGGAAGGUUACUGCCGAAGGAUCGGCCCGCGUCUGAUUAGCUAGUUGGUUGGGGGUAA